ACGAAGGGGGCUAGCGUUGUUCGGAAUUACUGGGCGUAAAGCGCACGUAGGCGGAUAUUUAAGUCAGGGGUGAAAUCCCAGAGCUCAACUCUGGAACUGCCUUUGAUACUGGAUAUCUUGAGUAUGGAAGAGGUGAGUGGAAUUCCGAGUGUAGAGGUGAAAUUCGUAGAUAUUCGGAGGAACACCAGUGGCGAAGGCGGCUCACUGGUCCAUUACUGACGCUGAGGUGCGAAAGCGUGGGGAGCAAACAGG
rnacentral:rRNA from 1 species